rnacentral:rRNA from 1 species
AACGUAGGACGCAAGCGUUAUCCGGAAUUACUGGGCGUAAAGCGCGUGUAGGUGGUUAGAUAAGUCACUGUUGAAAGCUCCCGGCUAAACUGGGAGAGGUGCGGUGAGACUGUCUGGCUAGAGUAUGGGAGAGGGAUGCGGAAUUCCGGGUGUAGUGGUGAAAUGCGUAGAGAUCCGGAGGAACACCAGAGGCGAAGGCGGCAUCCUGGCCUAACACUGACACUGAGACGCGAAAGCAUGGGGAGCGAACGGG